rnacentral:rRNA from 1 species
UACGUAGGGUGCAAGCGUUGUCCGGAAUUAUUGGGCGUAAAGAGCUCGUAGGCGGUCUGUCGCGUCUGCUGUGAAAACUCGGGGCUUAACCCCGGGCCUGCAGUGGGUACGGGCAGACUAGAGUGCAGUAGGGGAGACUGGAAUUCCUGGUGUAGCGGUGAAAUGCGCAGAUAUCAGGAGGAACACCGGUGGCGAAGGCGGGUCUCUGGGCCGAAACUGACGCUGAGGAGCGAAAGCGUGGGGAGCAAACAGG